rnacentral:lncRNA from 1 species
GUAAGAACAAGAGGCAGAAAAAAAGAAGAUUCUAUUUAUACAUACCUGAUUCCACUCUUUGGUUUGGGUUCAACACGAAGUGGUAGAGGCAAUGGCACUGGUGAAGAAUCUGCUAGUGUUGCAGCUCUGUAAUAAGUAAUUAAGGAAAAUAUAGAACAUAAAAAGAAAUAUUUAUCAAUGUUUGAUUAAUAUUGUGAAACAAAAGGAUAUCUUAAAGGCAGCAAAAGCACGUUUCUCAGUUCGCCUGAGUAGACGUUCUGCAUCCUCCUCAGCUUCCAUUUGCUCCUUGAGGUAUAACAAGUCAUCACUGUCUAAAGCUGCAUAAAAAGUGUUCAAACAAUAAAAA